rnacentral:lncRNA from 1 species
CAGAAAUAUCUCAGCCUCCAGCAGAUGCAAGAACUUUCCAAUAUCCUGAGCCUUAGCUACAAACAGGUUAAGACCUGGUUCCAGAACCAGAGAAUGAAAUCUAAGAGGUGUCAGGAAAACAACCAGCCAAAGGGUAGCAAUGGUGUGACUCAGAAGGCCUCAGCACCUACUUACCUCUACUAUUCCUACUGAUGCUUGGUGAACACGACUGAGAACCUUCCAAUGUGGAGCAACAAGAUCUGGAGCAAUCCAACAUGUAGCAACCAGACCUGGAAUCCAGUCAUAA